AAUGAACGCUGGCGGCAUGGAUUAGGCAUGCAAGUCGUACGCUCACUUCGGUGAGAGUGGCGAAAGGGUGAGUAACGCGUGAGCGAUCUGCCCCCAAGUUCGGGACAACUGUUGGAAACGACAGCUAAUACCGAAUGUGAAUCUAAAGUUGCAUGACUUUAAAUUUAAAGGUUUACUGCUUGGGGAUGAGCUCGCGUCCCAUUAUGCUAGUUGGUAAGGUAACGGCUUACCAAGGCUAUGACGGGUAGGUGGUCUGAGAGGAUGGUCACCCACACUGGGACUGAGACACUGCCCAGACUCCUGCGGGAGGCUGCAGUCGAGAAUCUUCCGCAAUGCGCGAAAGCGUGACGGAGCAAUGCCGCGUGAGGGAUGAAGGCUUUCGGGUCGUAAACCUCUGUCAGAAGGGAAAAACAUUGAUUGUACCUUCAGAGGAAGCCACGGCUAACUACG
rnacentral:rRNA from 1 species